UAUUUGAUUUAUAUUUUGUAAACACACAAACAUGGAGUGUUUUUUUUUUCUUACAAAAUUAUUAUUAAAUACGUUCUACAAGUGUAUGUUUCGCCGACAUCAUCAGAUAUUUUGAUUCUAAUGAGUUGAGACGAUUUAGACGCAUUCAACUUUAAGAAGGUUCCUAACCAGCCUGUCCAAAAUUUGGAAACAUUCAUCAUGUUACAAAACUUCAGUCCAGUAGUACAGACACUAUUUGGCACUUUGUUCACAUGGGGCUUAACAGCUGUCGGAUCGAGUUUAAUCUUAGUAUUCAGCGGUACACAAAGGAAAUUACUGGAUGGAAGCUUGGGAUUCUCAAGUGGUGUGAUGAUAGCUGCAUCGUAUUGGUCACUGUUAGCACCAGCUAUUGAACUUGCUGAACAAGACAGUACCUAUGGAAAUGAUGGACAGUUUUCAUUUAUACCAGCACUUGUUGGUUUUAUAUUUGGUGCAUUUUUUGUGUAUUUAUCAGACUUACUCAUAUCAUUGUAUGAAAUGGAUGUACUUAAUAUUUUAAUACCUGAAGCAAAUCAAUGUUCAAAAAAGAAGUUCAAAUGUGAUUCUAAUACACAGAAUACUUAUUAUAAAAAUAAUCAACAAUCAAUUGGAAUAACAGAUGAGAUUUCAGAUGCUCGACUGCGAUGUUAUAAAUCUACACAUUCUCCUCCAGAAUAUACUGAAAUAGAAUGUGAUAAUGAUGUGAAAGCAUGUAGUUGGAAACGGAUACUAUUACUUAUAAUCGCUAUCACUGUGCAUAAUAUCCCUGAGGGUCUGGCUGUUGGUAUAGCAUUUGGAGCUGUUAAUUCAUCACCUUCUUCUACAUUUAAUAGUGCUAGAAAUUUGGCCAUGGGAAUUGGUAUACAAAAUUUUCCGGAAGGAUUAGCUGUCAGUUUACCUCUGCAAGCAGCCGGAUGUUCGAAAUGGAAAAGUUUUUGGUACGGACAACUUAGCGGCAUGGUGGAACCGAUCGCCGGACUCGUGGGCAUAUUCGCCGUUUCGUUGAUCAAACCGCUGUUGCCUUACGCCCUGGCGUUUGCCGCGGGCGCGAUGAUUUACGUGGUCGUCAACGACAUCAUACCGGAGUCGAAUUCCAGUGGCAACGGGAAGCUGGCCAGUUGGUGUUGUAUCGUGGGAUUCGCCGUGAUGAUGUCAUUGGACGUGGGACUCGGUUGACUUCAUUAGAGAACAUUUAUUUGGAAUAGCAGUGAUACUCAAAAAGAUUCGUGUACAACUCUUUUAUCGUAAACGAUAACCAAAGUCCAUAACUGGUCAAUAUUCCGAAAAAUUUGAGUAAUAUGCCAAAAAUAAUCUUACAAAAACAGUGAAAAACCGUAUGUAUCCAGAAACAAUUUUGGUUGGGAUAUCAUAAAUCACCGUUUAAAGUACGUAUUACUGCAAAUGAGUUUUUUCUAAUGUAACUUAAAGUCAACAUUAUACACUUAGCUAUAUGUAAUAAAAAAAAUC